AUUGAACGCUGGCGGCAGGCCUAACACAUGCAAGUCGAGCGGAUGAAGGGAGCUUGCUCCUGGAUUCAGCGGCGGACGGGUGAGUAAUGCCUAGGAAUCUGCCUGGUAGUGGGGGAUAACGUCCGGAAACGGGCGCUAAUACCGCAUACGUCCUGAGGGAGAAAGUGGGGGAGCUUCGGACCUCACGCUAUCAGAUGAGCCUAGGUCGGAUUAGCUAGUUGGUGGGGUAAAGGCCUACCAAGGCGACGAUCCGUAACUGGUCUGAGAGGAUGAUCAGUCACACUGGAACUUAGACACGGUCCAGACUCCUACGGGAGGCAGCAGUGGGGAAUAUUGGACAAUGGGCGAAAGCCUGAUCCAGCCAUGCCGCGUGUGUGAAGAAGGUCUUCGGAUUGUAAAGCACGUUAAGUUGGGAGAAAGGGCAGUAAGUUAAUACCUUGCUGUUUUGACGUUACCAACAGAAUAAGCACCGGCUAACUUCGUG
rnacentral:rRNA from 1 species